UUGUACAUAGAAGCCUAAGGAUGGAUUCUUCAGGUCACCCUUUUCUUAAAGCCUAAUCCAUCUAUAUGCACGGAGAACACCAGGAAGGACACCACCUUUGUCAGCAAUGAGCUGAAAGUCUUUUUAUGAAAUUAGGCAAUCAGAGAAAGGGGCACGGAGCACCCUUACUAAUAAUCACGGCAUCAAUAUCAACUCUCUGCAACAAUUCACAAGAUCGAAAGGGCCAUUACCGCACCUACCUACAAGGUCUUUCUCUCUCCAGAACUCACAGUGUGAUCAUCAUGUUUUCUGAUACUGUCAUGAAAGGAGGUGGAAAAAAAGCCACUGACAUUUAUUGCAUAGGAUUAAGCUGACGUCGCAAGGGAAAUUUAGUCGUUCCUCAGCUGGUAAAAAACCAUUCUGUAGGAAGGCCUAGAAAGUGAUCGUCUGUUUACAUGCAUGUCUCGGCUAGAACAGAGUGGCUAAGUGUUGGUCUCUCUGACUGUCUCUCUCUGUCUGCCUGUCUGUUUUUAAAAUGUCAGAGUGAAGAGCUCCAUGCUCUCUGUUUUGGCCGAUCCCCCACGCCCAUCCGUGCAGGGUUUGGCAGCUGAAAUACCCAGGGAUUCCCCCAGCACUCCAUGACCAAGCUUAUCCCAGCACCAUUUCCCUGUGGCUCAAAGGGUCUCCGUUUCAGACUUGUUAACGGUAGCUCCUUCUGAGUCCCUAUCCCCAUGGCAACACCGAGGUCAGACCUUACGAACUUCGGAGCAGAAGGCGGCCGAAACAGUGAUUCAGAUUUCACUGAUUUUUUGCUAGCUCUUACAUCUCACGUAUAUAUGCAACCUCAUACCCAACCUUCUUACCUCCAGCCACAGAUGUGUCUAUCAUCCAUGCUAAAUGCAACCAGAAAAAGGGAAAAGAGCCUCCACCAAAUCACUGUCUUUUAUCUGACCCUGAAGAAAUAAACGGGAAUAAAAUGAAUCAAAAAAGAAAGAUUGUAGGGGCGCCUUGGUACCUCAGUGGUUAAGCAUCCGACUCUUGGGCUCGGCUCAGGUCACGGUCUCGCGGUCCGUGGGUGUGAGCCUGCACUGAGCUCUGCAUAGGCCGUGCAGAGGCUACUUGAGAUUCUUCCUCUCCUCUCUCUGCCCCCUCCCUCAAAACAAAUAAAUAAACUUU